GCCUCAGUAACUGCGAGUGAAGCGGCAAAAGCUCAAAUUUGAAAUCCGGCGUCUCCGGCGUCAGAGUUGUAAUUUGGAGGGGCAUCUUCGAGGUUGGCGCCGUCCUAAGUUCCUUGGAACAGGACGUCACAGAGGGUGAGAAUCCCGUGCCUGGACGGAUGUCCGGCCUCAUGUGAAGUGUCUCCGACGAGUCGAGUUGUUUGGGAAUGCAGCUCAAAAUGGGUGGUAAAUUUCAUCUAAAGCUAAAUAUUGGCGAGAGACCGAUAGCGCACAAGUAGAGUGAUCGAAAGAUGAAAAGCACUUUGAAAAGAGAGUCAAAAAGUACGUGAAAUUGUUGAAAGGGAAGCGCUUGAGACCAGACUCGACUGGUGGUGAUCAGCCGUACUUCUGUAUGGUGCACUGGCCGCCAGUCGGGCCAGCAUCAGUUCCGGUGGCGGGAUAAAAGGGGCGGAAACGUGGCCGUACUCGUACGGUGUUAUAGUCCGCUUCACAAUGCCACCGACCGGGACUGAGGACCGCGCCUCUGGCUAGGAUGCUGGCGUAAUGGUCUUAAGCGACCCGUCUUGAAACACGGACCAAGGAGUCUAACAUCUAUGCGAGUGUUCGGGUGGAAAACCCUUGCGCGUAAUGAAAGUGAACGGANGUGGGAACCCCUCGGGGUGCACCAUCGACCGAUCCUGAUGUCUUCNGACGGAUUUGAGUAAGAGCAUAGCUGUUGGGACCCGAAAGAUGGUGAACUAUGCC
rnacentral:rRNA from 1 species